rnacentral:lncRNA from 1 species
UUGGAUAAAGAUAUUUAAGAUGUUUUUCUAUGCAAUGUUUAUAGUGGGCUGUCUUUUGAAAGACCAAUAGUCAUAGCCUUAAGGAGACCACUGUUGCUGAAAAGCCUUGUUUAUUGUGAGGAGGAGGGGAGAAACUGGGGUGAGAAACGUUGCUACCUGUUGCAGCAGCUACCUGAUCACCCAAGAGAUUUGCAUAAUUUCUUCCUCCCACUAUAUCCCAUUCCAGCAGCCAAUAUCUU